GCUGUUCCGCAGUCACAGUUCUUUGAUCUGAAAGCUGCUAUGCUUUUGAGAGGAGAGGUUAAUUGCAUGGAGGUCGCUGCCGCUGGAAAUGUAGCCCAAGCAAGAACCACUGCUACCCAAGAAAAUGUCCUAGAAUGGGUCAAAAAAGACAAGCGAAGGAUGCUCCAUGUUUUACCACGUUGGAGACCUGGACAAAACCAUAAAAUUCUACAGAGUGCUUGGAGAUGAAACUGCUUUGAAAACGUGACAUACCAGACGAGAGAUACACAAAUGCAUUUCUUGGAUAUGGGCCCAGAGAUUUUCACUUUGUCACUGAAAAAAAUAAAAUCAUGGAGUUAAAAAUUAUGAUAUCGGAACUGGAUUUGGCCAUUUUGGCAUUGCUGACGAAGAUGUUGCCAAGUCUGUCAAACUCCUAAGGUCAAGGGUGGUAAAGGCACCCAAGAACCUGGUCCCAUCAAAGGUGGUAGUACAGUGAUUGCAUUUGUUGAGGACUUUGAUGGCAACAAGUUUGAACUUUUUCCUGAACCAUUGUGUCAUAUAAUGCUUCAUGUUGA